rnacentral:miRNA from 1 species
AGCGGGGUACGGAGGUCUUACU